CUCUGCUUAAGGGUAUACUAACACAAAUCGGGGACGGAAGAGAAAGCCCAAAACAUGGAAACGGAUUAUUAAGUAAACGAUGUGGAAAUAAAGAAGAAUCCUGAUAUCCGUUUGAAUGAUCAGUUCCGCCAAAAGAUCCACAGUAACAUCAAAAAGUUUAAAUCACAGGACUGGGAAGAAAAUGCUCCUGUCAGCAAUAAUUCAAACCCAGUAAGAGGCGCAUCCCCUCUCCAUGCUGCUUUGGGUCUGCUCCAAAUACUUCAAAAGAUAAUUCUGCAAUAGCAGCCUUCCUGUUACUGCUGCUUGCAACUGCAGCCCAGUGGUCCCCAUGUAAACUACUUUCUGAACAAGACCCUGACUCAAUCAGCAAUCCACAUCACCAGACAAAAACAAAGAGAAGGAGAAAGCACUUGGACAGCUUCUAACUUCAACAUAGCCAUACCAAGAUUACAAAAUGCGCUCCCACAAAAGGAAGAAAAGCGAUGCUUCAGGCAGCAUUGUAGAUUAUCAUGGACAUGAUAGUUUAGGGAGGUGAGGUGAAACAGGAUCAGUUCUGUGUUUGUGUGGAGACAUUCACAAUCAAUAAAUAAAAUUGUGUUCAAACGUUUCCUGCUGACCGAAUGCAUUGUUAAUCAGUAGCUGAUGAUCACAAAACAGCUUUUAUCUCUUUGGAAAGUUAUAUGUUUUGUUUCAGCACAAGUUCAUGUUUUAUUUAUGCCUAGCUUGGUAUUCAUAAUGUACUCAGUAAAACAGGCCUCAGAAGUACUGGCAUGAGCAUGUAGAAAUGCUGCAUGUUGUUAUUUCAUCCUCUUUCUUAUCUGUAUAAAGCUCUUGCACACUCACCGAAGACCUGAAAUGAUGUGCAUUCCUCACCAGCUUGUUCUAACUUCAGAGUGACAGUGUUGGUAGAGUUGUAGAAACACCGACUUUAAAUGUUACCAAAUACUGGAUAAAAAAACCCCAAAUGGUAAAACUGCAGCACACCCUGUCAAGACCUCCAGACUGUUGCUAGAAGUCUGUGAAUGAUAAAAGGUCAGAAGCAUUUUCAAGAAGCCAGAAAUAGUGGUUUAGAGCAGAAUACCAAAGCAGGUGCAGGUGCAAUUUUUGUAAAACUGCAAAACUUUGAAGACAAAGAAACACAUAAAAAGCUUAGUUCAAGACCUCUUUAAAGGACUUGACUGUGUGUAACAUUUGUAGCAUACUAUUUUGUUGGAUUAGUUUGAGUACUUAGCAUAUUUACAUAGGAGGAUGCAGUGAGCUGUAAGGAAGCUGAAUUUUAAGGUGGGGAAAGUAUCUAGCUGAAGACAAGAAGAAAAACUGCCUCAUGACUGCUAAGCUGUGAAGUUUGUGGUGCUGUCCUGAAAUGCAGCUGCAAGAAUCCAGAGGCAUAUCAUAACUGCAAGAAAGCUAUGACCUGGGAAAGGUGUGGUAACUGUUCUAUCUUCUAAUAAAUGUCAGUGCAGUGG